rnacentral:rRNA from 1 species
GGGUGAGUAACGCGUAGGAAUCUAUCCAUGGGUGGGGGAUAACUCCGGGAAACUGGAGCUAAUACCGCAUGAUACCUGAGGGUCAAAGGCGCAAGUCGCCUGUGGAGGAGCCUGCGUUUGAUUAGCUUGUUGGUGGGGUAAUGGCCUACCAAGGCGAUGAUCAAUAGCUGGUCUGAGAGGAUGAUCAGCCACACUGGGACUGAGACACGGCCCAGACUCCUACGGGAGGCAGCAGUGGGGAAUAUUGGACAAUGGGGGCAACCCUGAUCCAGCAAUGCCGCGUGUGUGAAGAAGGUUUUCGGAUUGUAAAGCACUUUCGGCGGGGACAAUGAUGACGGUACCCGCAGAACAACCCCCGGCUAACUUCAUGCCAGCAACCGCGGUAAUACCAAGGGGGC